rnacentral:rRNA from 1 species
UACGUAGGGUGCGAGCGUUGUCCGGAAUUAUUGGGCGUAAAGAGCUCGUAGGCGGUGUGUCGCGUCGGCCGUGAAAACCUGCAGCUUAACUGUGGGCUUGCGGUCGAUACGGGCAUCACUGGAGUUCGGCAGGGAGACUGGAAUUCCUGGUGUAGCGGUGAAAUGCGCAGAUAUCAGGAGGAACACCGAUGGCGAAGGCAGGUCUCUGGGCUGAAACUGACGCUCAUGCACGAAAGCGUGGGAGCAAACAGG